GGGUGUGGAGGAGGGUGCGGUAGUGGGUUGCUGCUUUUCGUCUUGGCUCCUUUUGGCAGUUCCUCAUUCUUCCUCCUGAUCGUGUCCGAGUUUCUACCUCGAAGCCCACCCGAAACCGCUCUGCACUGUCGCACGAGUCAGAAUCUACUGGGUCGGGCGGACUCCAGCAAGAAACCAAGUGGACUACCAACCACGCGCACAGAUACAUGCCAUGCCUUGCCGCCUUCCACACUGGAGCCCUCACUGGUCCUCAGCCUUCUGGGGCUAGGAACCGGGAGUCUGUGUCAACCCAGAGAACCUGGUGCUCAGAGAGCCGGGCUAACAGCAAAGAUGGAUAGAAGGAGCGCUUGUCCUCUCUUCUCCGACUCCUCCCAGGCAGUGUAAACGCUCCGAGAUAAAAAAAUACAAAACAAAAAACAUCACAAAACGGGGGAGGAGGAGAGGCAGGAUCCAACCUCACCGUAUACUAAGCUCAUUGCUUUUAGGAUCUGCCAAAGCAAAACAGUAGUUGCCUUCUUUCUGAGCCACCCAACAAGCGGGAUGCAAAGGAGGGCUGUUACUCUACCUUUUCGGUGCAUCUAUAGGCAGCCAGAGCACGGAACUAGCUGAUGUAGUAUCCCAUUUAGUAAUCCAUUAUAUAGGGGAUCUUUCUGGGCAACGCGGUCCACUCUUUCCUUCGCAAUCCUUUGUCAUUACUACAUGUGUUCUUCACUCGCUCUUUCGGUGCAAUAUUAGAGGUUACCACUUUCUGGGAUACAAAUUCAGUUUGCUCAUUUCCAAAGAUAGGAAAAAAGGGGAAGGGGGAGAGGGGAGAAGAAAACGGGGGAAGGGGGGAGGGGGAAGGGGGAGUGUAGUCAAGUAACUCUUUUCCAAAUCUAGAUUGCCAGUAAUUUCACUCCAGUAAAGUCCCCUUCAGUAGGAUCUCGGCCGAUUAACAAGUCAUUUCAAGGCUGGGGGGAUGGGGGUUGGGGAAGGGAGCGUUCUUGUCCUGCUCCCUCUUUUUUUUCCAGAAGUGCGGACGCCGUUAAGGUGAUGGUGAUGCUGGCCGCUUCAAGAAACUCCUAAGCAGGCACCUCUUUCUGUUCGCCACAGCGGAAAAGCGCAACUGCUCCCGGCCCAAAGCAAGUGGUCAUUGAACUGUGUUUAGGAGUUGAGUUCAGAGCUGCCUCUCCCUCCACUGCUCGCAACUCUUCUGUCAGUAGCUAGGCUGCUUUUUUUCCAGAGGUGGAGCCAAAUCCCGGACUGGAUUCCGGCAAGCGGAAUCCCUUCAUGCCACUCUUCCUCCUUUGGCUUCUCAUCCUACCCAAAAGCUACGGGGUGUGUAAUUGUGCGAGUGUACCUGUGUGCAUGUGCGUACGUAUUCAUGUAAGAAAGGGAGAGAAAG
rnacentral:lncRNA from 1 species